rnacentral:lncRNA from 1 species
AACUGUUCGUGUGCUGUACAAAUGAUGUGGAAUGAAGCUAAAUUUCAAACCUGUGAAGGAUUUAGUGGAGCAGAAUUAGCGUUCUCCGGCCAGUCCUCCUGCCUGGAGUCAGGUGCUGAUGUACCUGUAUAGCUGUCUCAGGUGAGACGCCAGUGGCGAAGCAGAGAUGGAUGAAGCUCUAGUGCAAAUGUCAGACAUCCCCAAACUGAGUCCCGUCUUGCAGCAGAAUGUGCUCACAGCUUACAGCCGUCAGAAGGAAGAAGUGCCCCAGAGACCACCUCCCGGCCACGAAAAAUAAAAACCCAACAACAACAGAACACGGGAAAAAAUACACACACUCAUUUGCUGGAAUGGCAUUCAUUUGUCGAUCUCAUCUUGACCUCUUUGGGGAGGCUAAAGGACGUUCAGUGACUGUGAAGUGCACAGACUUUUGUAUAUUAUCCUCAGAUGAACUUUUUCGAUGUUCCAUUGACAACAUCUGCAUUUCAGCCAAGCUGAGUGGCCCUCCAUUUUUCUUUAUGCAAAGACCUCGUUUAUUUGUCCAGGAUUUGGCACCCACACUUAAUCACAGAAUAAGUGAGAAAAAGCAGUUGCUCUUCCUGCUUCUGUGA